AAAAUGACUCUCGGCAACGGAUAUCUCGGCUCUUGCAUCGAUGAAGAACGUAGCGAAAUGCGAUACUUGGUGUGAAUUGCAGAAUCCCGUGAACCAUCGAGUCUUUGAACGCAAGUUGCGCCCGAAGCCAUUAGGCUGAGGGCACGCCUGCCUGGGUGUCACACAUCGUUGCC
rnacentral:rRNA from 2 species